rnacentral:rRNA from 1 species
CCUACGGGAGGCAGCAGUGGGGAAUAUUGGACAAUGGGGGAAACCCUGAUCCAGCAAUCACCGCGUGAAUGAAGAAGGCCUUUAGGGUUGUAAAGUUCUUUUAUCAGGGAAGAUAAUGACGGUACCUGAAGAAUAAGCCC